rnacentral:rRNA from 1 species
CCCUUAGAUGUUCUGGGCCGCACGCGCGCUACACUGACGAUGGCAACGAGUUUUUCCUUCGCCGAAAGGUGUGGGUAAUCUUUUGAAACAUCGUCGUGCUGGGGAUAGAUCAUUGCAAUUUUUGAUCUUGAACGAGGAAUUCCUAGUAAGCGCGAGUCAUCAGCUCGCGUUGAUUACGUCCCUGCCCUUUGUACACACCGCCCGUCGCUACUACCGAUUGAAUGGUUUAGUGAGGACUCCUGAUUGGCGCCGCCGCCCCGGCAACGGAGCAGCGGACUGCCGAAAAGUUGUUCAAACUUGAUCAUUUAGAGGAAGUAAAAGUCAUAACA